AUUAUGAACUUAUAUGUUAUGCAUCAUAUGUAUUCAAACACCCAACUAUGGAGGCUGAUGCUAUUAUGGGGUUGGAGUACAUUCCAACUAUGGAGGAAAUGGAGUCAUAGAACAGAUUGAAGCUGACCAUGAAAAAGAGGAUAGAUAGAAAGCUGAGAAGGCCAAGAAUGCUAUUGCUGCUGCAUCUGCAUCUGCCCCAAGUGGCAAAACAACCAAGAGUUCUGAGGCUUCGGCUUCUACCCCUACAACCAAGAAGAAAAGGCAUAAAAAAUGAUGCAAUUCAUCAACAAUCAAGGAUGCAUAAAGAUUUGGUAUUGAAUCUAUUGAUGGAAGGCUGGAAGCCUUGUUGCAUUGAUGAAGAGGAACUGAGGAAGCCAUGCUGGAAAUGUUUGAUUGUUUGCAGUAAUGCACUUUGAUGAAAUAUUGAAUCAUUCAUGAACUAUUUCAAUUUUAGUUGGUUUGUUUCA